CGUGUAGGCGGCCCGGCAAGUUGGAUGUGCAAGCCUGCGGCUUAACCGCAGAAUUGCAUCCAAAACUGCCAGGCUUGAGUACGGGAGAGGAGAGUGGAAUUCCCAGUGUAGCGGUGAAAUGCGUAGAUAUUGGGAGGAACACCGGUGGCGAAGGCGGCUCUCUGGAACGAUACUGACGCUAAGGCGCGAAAGCUGGGGGAGCAAACGGGAUUAGAUACCCCGGUAGUCCCAGCCGUAAACGAUGGGCACUAGGUGUGGGAGGAUAUCGAUCCCUUCCGUGCCGGAGCUAACGCAGUAAGUGCCCCGCCUGGGGAGUACGGUCGCAAGACUGAA
rnacentral:rRNA from 1 species